UGCAGUCGAGCGGACAGAAGGGAGCUUGCUCCCGGAUGUUAGCGGCGGACGGGUGAGUAACACGUGGGUAACCUGCCUGUAAGACUGGGAUAACUCCGGGAAACCGGAGCUAAUACCGGAUAGUUCCUUGAACCGCAUGGUUCAAGGAUGAAAGACGGUUUCGGCUGUCACUUACAGAUGGACCCGCGGCGCAUUAGCUAGUUGGUGGGGUAAUGGCUCACCAAGGCGACGAUGCGUAGCCGACCUGAGAGGGUGAUCGGCCACACUGGGACUGAGACACGGCCCAGACUCCUACGGGAGGCAGCAGUAGGGAAUCUUCCGCAAUGGACGAAAGUCUGACGGAGCAACGCCGCGUGAGUGAUGAAGGUUUUCGGAUCGUAAAGCUCUGUUGUUAGGGAAGAACAAGUGCGAGAGUAACUGCUCGCACCUUGACGGUACCUAACCAGAAAGCCACGGCUAACUACGUGCCAGCAGCCGCGGUAAUACGUAGGUGGCAAGCGUUGUCCGGAAUUAUUGGGCGUAAAGGGCUCGCAGGCGGUUUCUUAAGUCUGAUGUGAAAGCCCCCGGCUCAACCGGGGAGGGUCAUUGGAAACUGGGAAACUUGAGUGCAGAAGAGGAGAGUGGAAUUCCACGUGUAGCGGUGAAAUGCGUAGAGAUGUGGAGGAACACCAGUGGCGAAGGCGACUCUCUGGUCUGUAACUGACGCUGAGGAGCGAAAGCGUG
rnacentral:rRNA from 3 species